GCCAGGCAUGGUGGUGCAUGCCUGUAGUCUCAGCUACUCAGGAGGCUGAGGCAGAAGAAUCACUUGAAUCCAGGAGGCAGAGGCUGCAGUGAGCUGAGAUCAUACCACUGCACUCCAGCCUGGGUGACAGAGUGAGAAUCUGUCUCAA
rnacentral:sRNA from 1 species